rnacentral:rRNA from 1 species
GUGGGUAGUCCGUACGAGCGCACCCUAUCUUUAUUGCCAGCGGUUCGGCCGGGGACUCUAAAGAAACUGCCAGCGCAAGCUGUGAGGAAGGUGGGGAUGACGUCAAAUCAUCACGGCCCUUACGUCCUGGGCUACACACGUGCUACAAUGGUAGGUACAAAGGGCAGCCACUUGGUGACAAGGAGCUAAUCUCUAAAACCUAUCUCAGUUCGGAUUGGAGUCUGAAACUCGACUCUAUGAAGCUGGAAUCGCUAGUAAUCGCGCAUCAGCCAUGGCGCGGUGAAUACGUUCCCGGGCCUUGUACACACCGCCCGUCAAGCCAUGGAAGCUGGGAGUACCUGAAGUCGGUAACCAUACAGGAGCUGCCUAGGGUAAAACUGGUGACUGGGGCUAAGUCGUAACAAGGUAGCCGUACCGGAAGGUGUGGCUGGAACACCUCCUUUCU